rnacentral:rRNA from 1 species
UACGAAGGGGGCUAGCGUUGCUCGGAAUUACUGGGCGUAAAGCGUGCGUAGACGGUUACAUAAGUCGGGUGUGAAAGCCCCGGGCUCAACCUGGGAAUUGCAUUCGAGACUGCGUAGCUAGGGUGCGGAAGAGGGAAGCGGAAUUUCCGGUGUAGCGGUGAAAUGCGUAGAUAUCAGGAGGAACACCUGCGGUGUAGACGGCUUUCUGGACCAUUGUUGACGCUGAGGAGCGAAAGCGUGGGGAGCGAACAGG